CCCCUAAGCAUAACACCUGCUCAGACAACCGCUUAUCACAUUCUGAGGUACUUUAGCAGUUUUCCUGACAAGCGCAUAGUUUUGGGAAGCACGAGAUCAGAGAGAGAAGAAGAGAAACAGCUGCACUGAACCAUCUCAAAGCAGAAAUGCAUCCAGACCAAGAACACACAGACUUGACCAGACCGAGAGAGACAUCCAGGAGACAGCUGCAUUAGGCAAGGAAAUGAAUCAAGACCAGAGGAGACGAGAGCCGAGGACCCCUGUGCAUUGAAGGCCCUCUUCUUUACAAAAAUAAAUAAGCAUUUAUUCUGCAGAGGAGAGAGAAGAGGGUGUCACAUUUAAAAAGAUAAGUGAGAUGAUCAGAAUUUCUAUAUUGACCAAUAGUUGUCCUGUUGACCUCAGUGCUGAACUUACUGUGCUCUUCCCUUUGAAUGCGUCAUUAGACUUUUAGAAAAAGAAAAGAGCUGAGAUGAGACCAGAGGAGAAGACAGGAGACAGCUGCACUGUGAACUGUUCUUAUUGGAAAAACAGAACAGAGGAGCAGAGUCGAGGGGACCAGGACACAGUUUGUGCUGUGACCACUCCUAUUGAAAAAGAUGUGUCCACAUCUGCAGCAGUUUGUUGUCCUGAAGAUCAUCCUGUCUGACAUCAUGCACAGAUCCAGCUGGAGCCCAAGUCUCCACCAAGUCCACAUGUACAUGCAUGGGUGACGUUUUACCUGGUAGCAUGGGCGACCAUCCUCAGGGAGUGAAACCACUUCACCUUCAUUUGUUUGUUCAUUUAAUGGGUGUCCAGUGGAGAAGAAUGCCCAUUUCCAUCAGCUGGUGUUUGUCUGAUCAGCAGUAAAUGUUAAAGAUGAAUUCAAUGCAAUUUGCACAGCACAGGGUGACUGUGUUUCUCAAUAUCAGUUUAACCAUAUUCAAGAAAAACUGAGCAUACCAUGAAUACAAUGUUUGAACUGUUGCCUUACACAUUUCCAAACAUAAUUCCUACCUGGAUCCAAAAAGACCUGUAAAAAUCAAAGUGAAGGUCAGAAGUUAGUGCUAUCUCUGUGAUUUAAAAAAAAUACAAACCCUUUAUUAUUAAAACUUUGUUGGCAUUAAGUACCUAAUCCACUGGUCAAUGAACAAAAAAUGUCUGCAGACACAUUUGCAGGGAGCCUUGUUAGUGUCUUUUUAUUUUCUUUACAGAGAUGAGGUUCUUUUAUUUACUUGUGGACAUAAGUAGGGGAAUGCAGCAUCUAGCAAACAUG